GCCAGGUGCUUGCAAGCAUUAGAUUGGGAUUCAUCUGGGGUGCUACGGGUUGUUUAGCUAAGAGAUUAUUUUCCCUCAUAUCUGCAUCUUGCAAAUGGAGAAAAACCCAAAGACAGGAAUGCAGGAUGCAUUGUCUUCAAAGAAAGUGUGGUUUUGGUUAUUUGCAGAUCUAAACCAAGCCUGAUUAAACACGUGGAGUAGGUAGGACUUGUUUCAUCAGGAAAUAAAGUCAUUCAGCUGCUUUUGAAACUGAUGAUUCUGACAUGACUCACAAGCAAACAGUGCAUUCUUCUGCUAAUUUUCUUCAUUUGUCUUUUUCCUUCUCCGGGCAUUUCUCUUUGAGUGUUUUCCACCUUUCCAGCCUCAAAUGAAAACAGCACAAAACAGCUCACAGCUACAACCUGUGGUGAGGUGACGAAAUUAUGAGUGCAGCGCACAAAGUUUGGCAACCACCUGAUUACGUACCGGCUGAUGUUCAGCCAAGUUGAGCUAGUUUUCCUUGGAUGUAUCUGCACCUUUUGACCUACAAGCCAUCAAAACCUCAGUGCGUAGCACACUGAUGCUCUUGUCCUACGUCUUCGCCUCCUCUCUAACUCACCUUGCAGUCAGCUUUGGACACAUAAAAGAGGAAAAAGUGACUCCUCGCUGUAGAUCUGUGCCGCUCGGAGCUCCACUGCCCGUCUGAAAGGCAGCACGCUGCCAUGAGUGAAACACUCUCCCUCCACCUCUCCCUCUUGUCGUGCCAAAUUGUGUUUUACAACAUCUGUUCAUUAUAGAUGGCCGACAUGAUGGAUAUGGUCAUAAUAUUAAUGUAAGACUGACACAGCAGAGACAUGAAUCAUGGCUGACUUUAUUUCAAAGCCGCCGUUUCAUUGGACCACCACUAAAAAGUGAUAUAUAAAUGUCAGCGAAUGGCAGCUGUAAAGCAUUAUGAAGUACAUUUGAUGGUGCAUUUUCACCGUUAUCAACCCGCUGUUAUUUACUAAUGUGUCUUCUUCAUGUGACAGCCGCUGUGUCGGCGUCAUUUAGCGCUUAUGUGCUUAAAGAGACUACCUUUUGUCUCCCUCAGGUGCUGUCUCAGCAGGGAGGAGAUGAAAAGGUCGACGGCCGUGCGACAAAAAAAACAUCUGCCCACCAAAAAUUCACAAGCUGCCGCAGACGGCAACAGUCGGUUUGUGUUCCUGCUGCCACACGGUGUCGUCGACAGCGUUGAGUGUUGACGGAUCUGUUGUGCUGCUGAGUUAGCUGCACUUCUGUGUGAUCUGCUGGGAUUAAACAACAACAAAUGGGGUUCAUUAAAAAAUAAUGUUUAACAUGUGUAAUAUACAUAUACUGUAUUUAUAUACAAGAGUAUAAUUUGUAUGAAUACAAGGAGAUACAUUGUGUAAAUUUAAAGAGAUACAUUGUAAACAUCAAAGAAGAUUCACUAUAUAAAUACAGGGGGGUAUAUUGCAUUAAUACAGUUUACAAUAUUAUAUUUUUAUACAAUGUAUAAAUAUAUUGUUUUAAUACAAUGCAUCCUGUAUAACUUAUGUCUAAAGUAUUAACAAGUUGUUUUAACUGCAAUUUUUUUUGUUUUUGUUUGUUUUCUUUUCUUUUUUUGCUAAUUUUUUAAUACAUGAAAAUAAAUUCUGAAAAUGUCAUAAUUAAUUAGUAAAAUUAAUAAAAUAUUAAUACGACAAAGAAGAAUAAAAUGUGUAAUUGGUGUUAAAUAAUAAAAUAAAUGCAAGAAGAAAUUUAAUAUAUUCAAACUGAAUAUGUUUUAUUAAUAAACGUUCAGUAUAACAAAAUAUGGAAAAACACCGUUUGUUCAUUUUUUUUAAAUGCAGUUUUUUUCUCAUAUUUUUUUUUACAAGCUAAUACUACAAUACAAACUGUAUUCAUUUAGACUUUUUUUUCCCCCACAACUUUUUUUAAAAAAAACACAAAAGAGCUCUUUAACCCUGAUUCGCUGUGUCUGAUAAACCUAAUGAUGAUUUGGGUUUCUCAAAGCACCACCAUGUUUUGGAAAUGAGCUCUAAAAGCAGGAUCCGCAGAGGCAGAACAAAGACAAGUUUGGAAAGGUUUAAAGGUUGCCUGGACUGUUCGGAAAAGCGCAGCUCGUUACGGCUCGAGCGGCGAACGCGCUCAUUUGCAGAAACAAGUGUGUGGAGAGUUUAAAGGUUGCAUACAUCGAAGCAGAGAUGUAGCGAGAGCAUUUGACUUUCCUGGAGAAGUACAGU
ensembl:lncRNA